UUUUAUUUUUUCUCUCUUGCUUCAUUAAAACGCAUAAUCAAUCAUUUUGUCCAUUUUUUGUUCGGAUUAAACAAUUUCUAUUCUGGUAGAGGCGAUGAUCUAAAGAUUUAAUUUUUGUUUCUCUUGCUUUUUUCCAACGUUACGCAUACGGUAAUCAUAUAAAAUAACCAGAACGAGACACAAUGGUAUCGUUUUUUUUUUUUUUUUGCUUAUUCAUUCGAAAAAUUCCAAAGUCACAUAUGAUGAUUAUAUAUAAAUAUUAUAAAUUCUCAAAUCAUCAAUUUUUAUCCCCUUUAUAUAAUUGCGCUACUUGUCUUUUCUGUUUGAAUUCAUAGUUUUUUUUGUAUUCGACAUUUGUUGAAUGAAUGAAAUUUCAUUUACCCCAAUCGUUUAUCUUAUGGAAUCUUUACCAUUGAUGAUGAGGAUGAUGAUUAUGUUGGACAAGGACAAAGAUGGAAGACUGUUUUUGUUAUCCAAUGCAGCGAUGGCGGCGUUAACCAGAUUAAACUGGAAAAUCUUUCUAUCUUAUGAAUGAUAGAUUUCUGUUUUCAAUUUUAAUUUAAUAUUUGCUCGAUUUAUUUUUCAUGCUCGCGUCUAUGUCUGUGACUUGGGCCAAUAUUUUCUAGAUUAUAAUCAUAUAAUCAACAAACAUAUCUUGUGUCAUAGUCAGUUUUAUAUAUAGACAGAUAGAUAUACAGACAAAGAGACUGACAGAUACUGAUAAUUGAUUUUUUCUUCCUGGUUUUUUCAUUUUGCAUUCAUUAUCCACAAUAUUUUUAUUUGCAUUUUUUCAUUUGAUUGAUUUGUUUUUUUUCACUGUGGCUGUUGUUGUUGUUUUUGAUAUAUAAUAUACGUUUUUCACUGUAAUCAAAUCAAAAGGAACAUUCUUAAUAAUUUUUUUGAAAAACAUUUAAUUAAUCUUAGGUCUAAACAUUUGAUGGCGGAUGGAUUGAUAAAUGGUGAUAACACAAAUGGCUAAAAAUAGCAUUCAACAAAUGUGGUCAAUAGCAGAUAUUAGAUGUGUGUGUUGCUUGAGGGAUGAUUCUUGAAAUUGAAGCGUGUUGUUUGAAAAAAGUUUGGAUUUCAUUUUUUUUCUGUCAUUUUUUCCGUCGAAUGUAUUUAUUUUAUAGCUGGUUUGGCGAACCAAAAAAAAUUUUCCAUCCAAUUUUUAAUUGAAUCGAAUGUGUUCAAUUCAAGGACCAUCUCUUGUCAUUUUGGUUGUAAUUGAGUAACACUUGACAAAAAAACCCGAUAGUGAUCGAAUCAUUCCUAAGAAGAAGAAGGAUAAAAAAUUUGAUCCGAAUGUUGUUAUCAGUGGAAAUAUGAGAUAUUACCAGUUCCUGAACUUGAUCAAUCAAUCAAUCAUUCAUUCAUUGGCGUUUAUCAUGAUGAAAAGAAAAUUUUUCUCGUUUGAUUCCGUAAUCUGUAUAAUCAAUGUAUUUAUAUCUGUCGUUUGGUUUAUGUCAUUACAUGAUUGUGAUUAUGAUGAUGAUGAUAACUCAUUUCUCUUUCACUAUUGACGUAUUUCACAUGUAUUCGUGUUUCGAAAUGAAAAUAAAUGAUUCGAUUUUUUUCAAUCA